UACGUAGGGGGCAAGCGUUGUCCGGAAUUAUUGGGCGUAAAGGGCUCGUAGGCGGCUCAGUAAGUCGGCGGUGAAAUCCCGAGGCUCAACCUCGUGACUGCCGUCGAUACUGCUGUGGCUAGAGUAGGGUAGAGGAGAGCGGAAUUCCCGGUGUAGCGGUGAAAUGCGCAGAUAUCGGGAGGAACACCCGUAGCGAAGGCGGCUCUCUGGGCCCAAACUGACGCUGAGGAGCGAAAGCGUGGGGAUCGAACAGG
rnacentral:rRNA from 1 species